rfam:Triticum aestivum genome assembly, contig: Triticum_aestivum_CS42_TGACv1_scaffold_556876_7AL
CUUAUACUCCCUCCGUCCGAAAAAGCUUGUCCCUCAAAUGGAUGUAUCUAGCACCAAGUUAGUGCUAGAUACAUCCAUUUGAGUAACAAGCUUGGGACAAGCUUUUUCGGAUGGAGGGAGUAUUUA